AUGACGAUGAGGAAGCGCCCCUCGUCCUCUCUUCUCAUAUCACCGCUGCUGUUUAUGCUUCUUCCAGCAUUUGCUCUUGCUGCGGGGAGGCACAACCUGAUCACUAGAGACCCUCAGUACGGCCCACAGGUGAACCCAAAUCUAGAACCACUGCCAGGAAAACAGCCAGAUCCAAACCCUCAACCAUUACCAGACCCACAACCAUUUCCAGGACCACGACCAGACCCAAAGCCGCAACCGCUACCCGAGCCUAAACCUCAUACAAACCCACAACCACUGCCAGAGCCACAACCUGAUCCAAACGCUCAACCAUUACCAGGACCACACCCUGACCCAAAUCCACAACCAUUGCCAGGCCAAAACCUGCAAUGGUUGAUGCCAGACCCACAGCCAAACCCAAACCCUCAGCCAUUACCAGGACCGCAGCCUGAUCCAAAUCCACACCCAUUACCAGACCCAAACCCGAAACCAUUGCCGAACCCACAGCCAAACCCAAACCCUCAGCCAUUACCAGGACCACAACCUAAUCCAAACCCACAACCAUUACCAGACCCAAACCCGAAGCCAUUACCUGGACCGCAACCUGAUCCAAACCCAGAACCAUUACCAGAUCCAAAUCCACAACCACUGCCAGGCCCACUACCUGACCCAAAUGCACAACCAAAACCACCACUUAGGACACAAGCAGAAAAAGGAAAUGGGGAAGCAAACGUCCAAGAGGAACCGUUGGCAUGA
rnacentral:rRNA from 1 species